CCUACGGGCGGCAGCAGUAGGGAAUAUUGCUCAAUGGGGGAAACCCUGAAGCAGCAACGCCGCGUGGAGGAUGAAGGUUUUAGGAUUGUAAACUCCUUUUGUGAGAGAAGAUAAUGACGGUAUCUCACGAAUAAGCACCGGCUAACUCCGUGCCAGCAGCCGCGGUAAUACGGAGGGCGCAAGCGUUACUCGGAAUCACUGGGCGUAAAGUGUGCGCAGGCGGGUGUGUAAGUCAGAUGUGAAAUCCUGUAGCUUAACUACAGAACUGCUUUUGAAACUAGCAGUCUAGAGUGUGGGAGAGGUAGGUGGAAUUCUUGGUGUAGGGGUGAAAUGCGUAGAUAUCAAGAGGAAUACUCAUUGCGAAGGCGACCUACUGGAACAUUACUGACGCUCAGGCACGAAAGCGUGGGGAGCAAACAGGAUUAGAUACCCGAGUAGUC
rnacentral:rRNA from 1 species